rnacentral:rRNA from 1 species
UACGUAGGGGACGAGCGUUGUCCGGAAUUACUGGGCGUAAAGGGCGCGCAGGCUGUGCUGCAAGUCAGCUGUGAAAUGUCUGGGCUUAACCCGGGCAUGCGGUUGAGACUGCAGUGCUGGAGUGCUGUAGAGGCAAGUGGAAUUCCCAGUGUAGCGGUGAAAUGCGUAGAUAUUGGGAAGAACACCGGUGGCGAAGGCGACUUGCUGGGCAGCAACUGACGCUGAGGCGCGAAAGCCAGGGGAGCAAACGGGA